ensembl:lncRNA
ACCAGGUGUUUGAUUGAUUUGAUACCAUUCCACUGAUUCCACUCCAGUCAUUACCACGAGCUUGUCCUCCCCAGGUAAGGAACCACCAACCUCCUGUGGUCCUAAUUUAUAUCUAGAAGGUAAAUGUACUAAAUUAACUUUCUUUAGUCUUCUUAGGAAUUAACAUUGGAGUAGAAAAAUGCAAAAUUGCACAGUAGAACAAAACAAGAUAAACAGAAGCAGAAUUAAUGAUUUUAUUGAUAGCGUUGUGUGGAAUGUGACUCUUCUGGCUGUCUGUGUUAGUCAGGAAGUCACAGGGGAGUACCGGGAGGCUUUAUGUUUUAUCACCAACACACAUUAUUGUCAGGCUGUGUGUUAGUAGCACUGCGAUGAGAGGAAAGUGAGGAGUUGUUUUAUCACCAACAUACAUUAUUGUCAGGCUGUGUGUUAGUAACACUGCGAUGAGAGGAAAGUGAGGAGUUGUUUUAUCACCAACACACAUUAUUGUCAGGCUGUGUGUUAGUAGCACUGUGAUGAGAGGAAAGUGAGGAGUUGUUUUAUCACCAACAUACAUUAUUGUCAGGCUGUGUGUUAGUAGCACUGCGAUGAGAGGAAAGUGAGGAGUUGUUUUAUCACCAACAUACAUUAUUGUCAGGCUGUGUGUUAGUAACACUGCGAUGAGAGGAAAGUGAGGAGUUGUUUUAUCACCAACAUACAUUACUGUCAGGCUGUGUGUUAGUAACACUGUGAUGAGAGGAAUGUGAGGCGUUGUUUUAUCAUCAGCAAACACACACAUUAUUGUCAGGCUGUGUGUUAGUAGCACUGCGAUGAGAGGAAAGUGAGGAGUUGUUUUAUCACCAACAUACAUUAUUGUCAGGCUGUGUGUUAGUAACACUGUGAUGAGAGGAAUGUGAGGCGUUGUUUUAUCAUCAGCAAACACACACAUUAUUGUCAGGCUGUGUGUUAGUAGCACUGCGAUGAGAGGAAAGUGAGGCGUUGUUUUAUCACCAGCGAACACACACAUUAUUGUCAGGCUGUGUGUUAGUAGCACUGUGAUGAGAGGAAAGUGAGGCGUUGUUUUAUCACCAGCGAACACACACAUUAUUGUCAGGCUGUGUGUUAGUAGCACUGCGAUGAGAGGAAAGUGAGGCGUUGUUUUAUCACCAGCGAACACACACAUUAUUGUCAGGCUGUGUGUUAGUAGCACUGCGAUGAGAGGAAAGUGAGGAGUUGUUUUAUCACCAACAUACAUUAUUGUCAGGCUGUGUGUUAGUAGCACUGCGAUGAGAGGAAAGUGAGGCGUUGUUUUAUCAUCAGCAAACACACACAUUAUUGUCAGGCUGUGUGUUAUUAGCACUGUGAUGAGAGGAAUGUGAGGCGUUGUUUUAUCACCAGCGAACACACACAUUAUUGUCAGGCUGUGUUAUUAGCACUGCGAUGAGAGGAAAGUGAGGCGUUGUUUUAUCACCAGCGUACACACACAUUAUUGUCAGGCUGUGUGUUAGUAGCACCGUGAUGAGAGGAAAGUGAGGCGUUGUUUUAUUGCACCGCUUUAGGAGUGUCUAAAAACCCCCAAGAGGAUGUCAGAAGGGAGACUUUUUCACGACAGCUUGGAAAAUAAACAGUUAUCAUCAGAUUCAAAACAAAGAUAUUUAUCUUUUUCUCAGAUCCAGUGUUGUGUAGAGAGAGAGAGAGAAGCCGGGGGCUGGGAGUUUACCCAGUCAGAGUCACUGCACUAUGAAGACGCCAAUUGUGGAGUAACACAUCAGUCUUGACGUUGGGUGAUCUAUACGUUUCCACAUCUGUACUGUCUCCAACUCCCUGCCCUGUUUCAAUACUUUAGGUGACAUCCUGUAUCGUGGUUCUCCAUAGGUACAUUUCAUGGGUUCUUCACUCAAGAGGGGAUAGUGUUACUUCACAGCACAUAGGAACUGUUACAGUGCUUUCUCUCUACCCACAGGUUCAUCUCAAUAGUAUGAAAUGGAUCCUUCUGCUCGUCUCCUUUCCUUCAGGAAGAAAGAAAGAAUAAAAGAAAGACAGGUUAGCGUACACUCUCACUUUUUAUUUUCAACUACAAAAGAGCCGUGUCAUCUCUGGGCUUGGAGGCCCCACAGAGUUGAGUUGAGGUGAGACAGCUCUCGCUCUUUACCUCUUCCCUCCCUCCAUCUCAUCUAGCCCUUCUAUUCACCAUCCACAGGAGCCAGUUUUAAGCUCUCGACCUAUCCACUCUAUCAUCUUCCCUCUGAUCCAUAUUCUCCUGCAGUCAGAUGACAUUAUGCAGCCAGGGCCCUCUGUCCCUCUCUCCCUUUCUCCCUCUCUCCUACCCCUCUCUCCUGUCCUCUCUCCCUCUCUCCCUUUCUCCCUCUCUCCUAUCUCUCUCCUGUCCUCUCUCCUCUCCCCUGUUCCCCUGCUACAGUCAGGCAGACUCAGGCAGAUCCACCCUGCUGUGAGCAUCCCAUUACACAGACUCUCCUGGCUCUUACUGCCUGUCAAACUAAAAGCUGGGGCUGCUCUGCUCCGAGGUUAAAAGGUACAAAAUGAUCCAGAGCCAGAGGGGAGCCGACUGUUCAGGGGCUGAUUGCUGAUCUAUCAAUUGCGGAUAGAAGAGAAGACGGUCCCUAUGAUAAUGAUGCUCGUUUAGCCUGCGAUGAAGAGUACAUGAGCUGCUCUCUAGUUUGGAGGAGUUUUUAUAGCUGUAAAGAGAGUGUCUGUGUGAAUCAGGUCUGGUCUUGUCUUGGCUGACUUGUCUGUGAGUCUUCUGUCUGUCUGUCUGUCUGUCUGGCUGUCUGUGAGGGACAGAUUGAUCGGAAGGUAAUCUUAGGGAAAGAGACAUUGGGGUGAAAUGAAAGAAUACCAUAUAUGUCAUUUAUUUGAUCCUUUGAAUCCACCUGGAGCCGAUGAGGAUUCCCUGGACACAGCUGUGUACCCUAGCCAACAACGACGAGACGGCCUACAGGGAGGAGGUGAGGGCCCUCGGAGUGUGGUGUCAGGAAAAUAACCUCACACUCCACGUCAACAAAACAACGGAGAUGAUCGUGGACUUCAGGAAACAGCAGAGGGAGCAUCCCCCUAUCCACAUCGACGGGACAGUAGUGGAGAGGGUAGAAAGUUUUAAGUUCCUCGGCGUACACAUCACGGACAAACUGAAUUGGUCCACCCACACAGACAGCAUGGUGAAGAAGGCGCAGCCACGCCUCUUCAACCUCAGGAGGCUGAAGAAAUUUGGCUUGUCACCAAAAGCACUCACAAACUUUUACAGAUGCACAAUCGAGAGCAUCCUGUCGGGCUGUAUCACUGCCUGGUAGGGCAACUGCUCCACCCACAACUGUAAGGCUCUCCAGAGGGUAGUGAGGUCUGCACAACACAUCACUGGGGGCAAACUACCUGGCCUCUAGGACACCUACACCACCCUAUGUCACAGGAAGGCCAUAAAGAUCAUCAAGGACAACAACCACCCGAGCCACUGCCUGUUCACCCCGCUAUCAUCCAGAAGGCGAGGUCAGUACAGGUGCAUCAAAGCAGGGACGAGAGACUGAAAAACAGCUGCUAUCUCAAGGCCAUCAGACUGUUAAACAGCCACCACUAACAUUGAGUGGCUGCUGCCAACAGACUCAACUCCAGCCACUUUAAUAAUGGAAAAUUGAUGUAAAAAAUGUAUCACUAGCCACUUUAAACAAUGCCACUUAAUAUAAUGUUUACAUUAUAAUGUUUACCCUACAUUACUCAUCUCAUAUGUACAGUGCCUUGCGAAAGUAUUCGGCCCCCUUGAACUUUGCGACCUUUUGCCACAUUUCAGGCUUCAAACA